GAUCUAGAACAGAUUUAAAUUUUAAUUUUUUUCAGAUUUAGAUAAGAUAUAUAUAUUUAUUUCUUUUUUAGAUCUGGAUAUGAAGUGAAAAAUAUGAAUUCAUGAUGGAUCUAGAUCAGAUAUGAAUCUUAAUUUUUAUUAUGAAUUUAAAUCUAAAACAUAAUAGAUCCAACUCAUAUCUAUCUCAUUGUCAUCCCUACAUAAAAUGCAGAACAUAUUCACCUUCGCUCAACUAAAUCCAUAAAAUGUAUUCAAUGGAUAGAAGUCGAAUUAAUGGUUACUUCAUUGUUAAGCAUCAUUAAAUGCUUAGUCCUUAGGCUCCCAUCAUGUGUGAACACGAAAAUCAGCUAGCUAACACGUGCCAUCCAGCCAUCUGUUUUGAUCGUUACCCCAGGCAAUUCGGCACGAAAUUAGAAAUGAGUAAGUAAUCGACCCGAUGCUAUUGAGUAUUAACGGCGGGGUUUACCAAUGAGUAAUUAGAAUAAGCAAAAAUUAGGAUGGAUUGAAAUGUGAGUGAGGAACAGAGAUCACAAUAAACUAUUUAUUUGAAUUCUAAAAUCAAAAUCGAAAUGAAUGUAUUUGUAUAAACGUGUUCGCUUUGUCUUAUAAUUAGAAUAGAUUAUUUCAAGUUACUAAAUAUCCCCAGUUAAUCAAUGUCAUUUUUAUUAUUAUUUUGUUAUAA
rnacentral:lncRNA from 1 species